UACGGGGGGAGCAAGCGUUGUCCGGAAUCAUUGGGCGUAAAGAGCGUGUAGGCGGCCCGGUAAGUCCGCUGUGAAAGUCGGGGGCUCAACCCCUCGGAUGCCGGUGGAUACUGUCGGACUAGAGUACGGAAGAGGCGAGUGGAAUUCCUGGUGUAGCGGUGAAAUGCGCAGAUAUCAGGAGGAACACCGAUUGCGAAGGCAGCUCGCUGGGACGUUACUGACGCUGAGACGCGAAAGCCAGGGGAGCAAACGGG
rnacentral:rRNA from 1 species